rnacentral:lncRNA from 1 species
UUGUAGUAGUGGAUGAACAACUGUGAAGAGCCAUAGAAUUUUUUUUUUCUAAGGAUAAGCUUCGAUGACGGAUUGAACUGCACGUAUAGGUUUAACGUUGAAUCGUGUAAAACCAGAUUGUCGAAGAACAUAGCUCCAUUCCUUUAAGGUCCUCUCUUUCCCUUUAUUAGUAACACCCAUCAUCGUCAUGUCUAGCAUCAACCCUACGCCACCUAGCUCGUCGCCUUCUUUAUCUUCUUCAAGAACUGCUUCAACGAUUAUAACCUUCCCUUUAUCUUCUGGAAUGGCUUCUCGACAUUUUUUUAGGAUUUUAAUGCAUUCCUCGUCGUCCCAAUCAUGCAAUACCCACUGCAAUGUGCCAUGUAUGGAUUAAUCGUAUAAGACCAUAUAAUGAAGGGAAAGAAAGUACUAACCAUGAAAAACGCUGCGUCGGCAUUUGGGAUAGACAUGAACAUGUCUCCUCCUACGUUUUCAAUGCUAUCGGAUUUUGCUGAAACGGCGACGACAUGAGGGAGAUCAAAGUUGAUGCCUCGAAUCCAUGGGAAUGCCUUGACUAAAAGGCUCAAAGCAGUCCCGUUACCACCACCGACAUCGACCAGGCUUUCGACUCCAUCAAACACUUCGGGACAUCCUUCGAUUGUCGCCUGCACCGUCAGUCUAGCAUCGCAACCCAUGGCGUUGUUAAAGAGUUCUCUAAAGUCGGGGUUCGCCUCGGCGUAGCUCCAUAGAUCUUUCCCAUUUGCUACUUCAAAUGGUGAGAUAUUAUUGCCGGUUUCAAGGACUCGAGCACUAAGACUAUGCCAGGGUGCUAAGCCAGUCGGGCUGGACAUGAGCAAUAUGAAAAGCAGCCAUGGAUUUUUCUCCACCUUUUAUCAAAUGACGGGACAAUGGCGUCGAUGAGAAGCCUACGGUGUGUUGGUUGAUGGGUUCUUGUUUGAAUAUUCGGUCGUGGACCAUGAACCUCAUAAUGCGAUAAAGACGUGACGGUUCGCAUCGGAGGGCAGUGGCUAGCUCGGAGAGUGGCAUAGGGCUUCCAUAGUUUUCAAUAACGUCGGCAAUUCCAAGCUCAAUGGCACAUUUAACGACAGCUAUUUUAACAUAUCCUAACACAUAAUUCCAAAUCUUUAUUUCAGCUCUAGCUUCUUCCUCUAUUGUCACUUCCAUAUCUCCUAUCUCAACUUUUUCUUUUAAAAUUUUGUUAUUUUAGAACUUUUGGUAACUCUAUGCCCAAAUCUUGACUAUGAAGCUACGAUUUAUAGAAGCAAAGGUAUUGGUUUGAACUAGGUCACAGUUCUUGAAUUUGAAAAUAUCUUGUCAAAUAUGCUCCUAACCACAAAACAAUUAUUAGAUUAAUUUGGUAAAAAAAUUACAGUCCAAUUAUUUGAGGUGUACCAAAUAGUAUAUGUAACUUAGAUUUUGGUUAACUUUUACCAUAGUACUUCAAUAGCAAUUUAUAAAUUUAAUCUUUAUAUUUUUUUAUUGAUUAAUUUCUAUCACAUUUCAAAAAUCGAGCUAAAAAAAAUUGGAUUAAUGGAUCAAGAAUUAACACGUCAUGACUUUUAAUUAAAACUUUGUAAAAUUAUGAUAAAAAUGAAUUAUCAACUAAGAAGAGAGUCUAAUUGACUUAGAGACUUGAGUUAUGUUUCGUGGGAUAUUCUCACAUUUUUCUGCCAUUCACUUCUACUUUAUUUAUGUGGUAAUGGGUGUAUGUGUGUGAUAGUGGGAUUGAUGGGUUUUUUUAACCAACUUUAUUCAGGAUCUUUCAUUUUUUGGACACUUUUACCCAAAAUCAGACACAGCUCAUCAUCUCAUAUUAUCUAAAAUUGUGUGGUAUAUAUGUUUAUAGGGUCAACUCAAAAAAUAUUUUAAGAAAAUAAUAAUAAUUUUCGAAAAAUAAAAAUACAAUUUUAUAAAUUAUUGUUAUUUUAUCUUUUUUUUUCGUGUUUGUCUUCGUCCAUAAUGUUUAUCGAUGCUUAUCAGAUUAUUUACCCUAAAUAUUUAUUGUCACUCUUCCAGUAUAAGACUUAUUUCAUUCGAACUUUAAUUGGUUAAAACUUAAAAUGAAAUAUUAUUAUAUUAGAGAGAUUUAUUAUUGUUUAAAUUUGAAUAUAUUUUAAUUUUUAAUCUAUUAUAUUUUUGAAUUGAUUUAUUCUAAUUCUAAUUGAUCAAAUAUGUAUUAUUUGUAACUUUUACUAAAAUUUUUUUAAUACGAUACAUUAUGUUCGUACCCUUUAAAAUUUUUUUGAAAAAUUUUAAAAAUAGAAUAUAGUAUAAUCAAGUACGACCACGUAUGUAUGAUGAUAUAUAAGGAAUUAUAAAGUUGAAUUAAACUAAUAUAAACUGCAAAUAAAUUAAGAAUCGGAAUAAUUUGAACUAAAAACGACGUAGAACAAUUGUGCAGGAAGAGAUUCAGACUUUAGUACACAAAAUCUAAGACCUUGACCUUUAUCAACAACUUCGAAACUUACUUUAUCCGGAUCAAAAUAACAAUCAUAUUUUAAUUGUUUUUUGCAUUCAAUCAAAAAUUAUUCCAGAGAUAGAAUUGAAGAUUGAAAUAAUUAUUGAACAAAGGGAAUUACUAAACGAAGAGCAAGACUGAAACAUUUCUCAUGCAACAAAGUUUUAAUUGUUUUGUAGAAGUGGAUGAACGACUGUGAAGAGCCAUAGAUGUUGUUUUCUAAGGAUAACCCUCGAUGACGGAUUGAACUGCACGUAUGGGAUUAACAGUGAAUCAUUUAAAACCAGAUUGUCGAAGAACAUAGCUCCAUUCCUUUAAGGUCCUCUCUUUCCCUUUAUCAAUAUGAGCCAUCAUCGCCAUGUCUAGCAUCAACCCCACGAAACCUAGCUCGUCGUCUUCUUUAUCUUCUUCAAGAGCUGCUUCAACGAUUAUAACCUUCCCUUUAUCUUCUGGAAUGGCUUCUCGAC